rnacentral:rRNA from 1 species
AGCUUAAAGGACUGAUUUUAAGUUAAGACUGCCCAGUGUAUAAUUAACGGCUGCGGUACUCUGACCGUACUAAGGUAGCAUAAUCAGUUGGCCUUUAAUUGUGGUCUGGAAUGAAUGUAACUAUGGGGGUGCUCUGUGUCACUAAAAUUAGAUAAAAAUUACUUUUGUGGUGAAAAAGCCAUAAUUUAGAAAAAAGACGAGAAGACCCUAGGAGUUUAAAUUUUGUUGGGGCGACAUUAUAAUAAAUAACUUAUUUAUUUUAUUUAACAAUUUAUAAUUCUUUUAUUCAAACUACCCUAGGGAUAACAGCAUAAUUUUUUAGAGAUUGUGACCUCGAUGUUGGACUAGGAAAAUUUAUUAUUAGAAGUAAUAGAUUUAGGUUCUGUUCGAACUUUAUCUCCU